rnacentral:rRNA from 1 species
UACAGAGGGGGCAAGCGUUGUCCGGAAUUACUGGGCGUACAGCGCGCGCAGGCGGUUGUCGACGGGCCGUGGGACAAACGGGGGCUCAACCCCCGAGGGCCACGGUAAACGGGGCGACUGGAGGAAGGGAGAGGGAUGUGGAAUGCCCGGUGGAGCGGUGAAAUGCGUAGAGAUCGGGCGGAACACCAGCGGCGAAGGCGGCAUCCUGGCCCUUACCUGACGCUGAGGCGCGAGAGCGUGGGGAGCAAACCGG